GGAGGCGUGGCAGAGCGGCCGAAUGCACCGGUCUUGAAAACCGGCGAAGGGCAACCUUCCGAGGGUUCAAAUCCCUCCGCCUCCG
rnacentral:tRNA from 1 species